rfam:Drechmeria coniospora strain ARSEF 6962 chromosome 01, whole genome shotgun sequence.
CCGAGUGAUGAUAUAAACGACUCAGGGAUUCCUCAUGCUUAAUAUACUAUGUGGAUACCGUUGAUACAAGUUUCAGCCUUGUCUGACU